UUUUUCUGUCAAACUGCGCCCAAAUUUUAUUUUAUUUUUUGCAAUUUACAUUUUGCAAAGGUUUUUAUUUUGCAACAGUGUGAGGGAACUGACACAUUGCACCGUUGGACGGCUGGAGUUUACUUUAGUUUAGGCGCGCGGUUAGUCCUGUCAGUGCGGGCGGGACAAGGCAAUAAUGUCUCUGACACAAAAAACUAAAUGCACCGAGCUUUCAAGAGACGCGUUUUUCAAAUGACGGAGUGGGAAUAAAGAGAGGUUCUAAUUUUCUGGUGAAUGCACCUUUUUAGUUGAUGUUACAACGCGACAGGUUCCUCCCACCAGCUCCUUCCUUCGCUGACUCUAAAACGAAUUGCAAAUGAAUGUCUUUAAACAAAAAUUCUGCCGGCCGCUCACUUCUGGAUAUCAUUUAGAAGCCGGUUGUGCUAUCUGGUGCGUCAGGCAGAAAAGUGAAUGCAAUGCAAAACCACAUUGAAACGCCGCAGUUUGUGUACACCAAGAUAUCAAUAAUGGCAAAGAGAAAAAGAAGAAGUGACUUGAUUCCAUUCUAAGGAUUGGUGAAGGCAAGAAUGAUUCACAAUGCUGACUGAAUACAAACAAUUCAGAGACAGAUAUUCUACUGAAGAAGGGCCUAAAGAAUAUGAUAAGAAGCAGAUGAACAAACUUUGUUGGACGAGCAGCUACAACAAUGAGGAGAGCAAUUGCUGGACUCAAUAGCAAUGCAGGGAGGACUUAUCCAGCCCACAGAUUGUUGACUUGGGGUUGCAGCAGCAGCAGUGGUUUGGAAGCUGCACUGGCUGAAAACAACAUGAUUCCGACUGAUGAAGAUGCUGGAAAUCUGAACGAGAACAAGAAUGCAUUUGAAUGUAAAUAUUCAUCAGGUGAGGUCAGACCAUGGCAUCGGAUAGAGAGAUUUGCCGAUUUUGGGUGAUGACAUUUCUCCCAUUCUUCCCCACAGAUGGCGUAUGACCCACAGAGUGAUUUUAGCUUGUAUUAUUUUUAUUAAAAGGGCUUGAACUUG